rnacentral:lncRNA from 1 species
GGUCAUAUCAGGUGAGCCAAGAGUUUGACUUUAGAGUUUCCAAAGCAACAGAAUCCCAGCAGAUCCCCCGUCCUCCCUCAGCAAAGAUCUUGCUCGCAGAAUCCAGAUGAAAAGCCUCUUUGAACUUGAGUCAAGUGGAGAGUCAAGUAAUAGAAAUACAAACCCCGCAAUGCCAUGCAAGAAGGGCUGUAGCAGACUGUGCAUACCAGAGAACGGGAUGCAGCUCACACCACUGAGACUCAUGAAUGACAGUUGCUAUGGGGAUCUCGCGCUGCACCCAUUCUGCUAG